rnacentral:rRNA from 1 species
UACGGAGGGAGCUAGCGUUGUUCGGAAUCACUGGGCUUAAAAGGGCGCGUAGGCGGCGAAUCAAGUCAGGGGUGAAAUCCGGCAGCUUAACUGUCGAAGUGCCUUUGAUACUGGUUUGCUCGAGGGAGAUAGGGGGUCUGUGGAACUUCUGGUGGAGCGGUGAAAUGCGUUGAUAAUCAGAAGGAACGCCGGUGGCGAAAGCGACGGACUGGAUCUCUUC